AAGUCGUAACAAGGUUUCCGUAGGUGAACCUGCGGAAGGAUCAUUAGAGAUUGGCCUAUGGCCGUGUCUAUUCCACACACACCGUGAACUGUGUACGUCUGGAGGCUCUCGGGCCCCCGAUGCAAAAACACCAAAACAAUGUGUGAUGAAUGUAAACUAUCGUAACAAAAACAAAACUUUCAACAACGGAUCUCUUGGCUCUC
rnacentral:misc_RNA from 1 species